rnacentral:rRNA from 1 species
CUUGACUGCGAGCGUGACGGCGCGAGCAGGUGCGAAAGCAGGUCAUAGUGAUCCGGUGGUUCUGAAUGGAAGGGCCAUCGCUCAACGGAUAAAAGGUACUCCGGGGAUAACAGGCUGAUACCGCCCAAGAGUUCAUAUCGACGGCGGUGUUUGGCACCUCGAUGUCGGCUCAUCACAUCCUGGGGCUGAAGUAGGUCCCAAGGGUAUGGCUGUUCGCCAUUUAAAGUGGUACGCGAGCUGGGUUUAGAACGUCGUGAGACAGUUCGGUCCCUAUCUGCCGUGGGCGCUGGAGAUUUGAGAGGGGCUGCUCCUAGUACGAGAGGACCGGAGUGGACGAACCUCUG